rnacentral:rRNA from 1 species
AUUGAACGCUAGCGGGAUGCUUUACACAUGCAAGUCGAACGAGUGGCGGACGGGUGAGUAAUAUAUCGGAAUGUGCCCAGUAGCGGGGGAUAACUACUCGAAAGAGUGGCUAAUACCGCAUACUAUUGAUGCGGCCGAUAGCGGUUUAGCUAGUUGGUGGGGUAAAGGGUCACCAAGGCAACGAUGCGUAGCUGGUUUGAGAGGACGACAAGCCACACUGGGACUGAGACACGGCCAAGACUCCUACGGGAGGCAGGAGUGGGGAAUUUUGGACAAUGGGGGAAACCCUGAUCCAGCCAUCCCGCGUGUAUGAGAAGGCCUUCGGGUUGUAAAGUACUUUUGGCAGAGAAGCGGUAUCUGCAGAAUAAGCACCGGCUAACUACGUGCCAGCCGCCGCGGUAAUAC